AGAGUUUGAUCAUGGCUCAGAACGAACGCUGGCGGCAGGCUUAACACAUGCAAGUCGAACGCGAAAUCACCUUCGGGUGGUGGAGAGUGGCAGACGGGUGAGUAACGCGUGGGAAUCUACCUGAUGGUACGGAAUAACUCAGGGAAACUUGAGCUAAUACCGGAUGUGCCCGAGAGGGGAAAGAUUUAUCGCCAUCAGAUGAGCCCGCGUCGGAUUAGCUAGUUGGUGGGGUAAAAGCCCACCAAGGCGACGAUCCGUAGCUGGUCUGAGAGGAUGAUCAGCCACACUGGGACUGAGACACGGCCCAGACUCCUACGGGAGGCAGCAGUGGGGAAUAUUGGACAAUGGGCGCAAGCCUGAUCCAGCCAUGCCGCGUGAGUGAUGAAGGCCCUAGGGUUGUAAAGCUCUUUCGACGGGGACGAUAAUGACGGUACCCGUAGAAGAAGCCCCGGCUAACUUCGUG
rnacentral:rRNA from 1 species